rnacentral:misc_RNA from 1 species
UUAAGUUCAGCGGGUAGUCCUACCUGAUUUGAGGUCAAGAGUCAAAAGUGUUUGCAAGCAAACAGUCCGAGUUAACAGACAGUUAGAAGCUGUGACACAAACUGGAAGCUGAACCAAAGCGUAGAUAAUUAUCACACCAAGGAACGGCUAACCAAGUCACCGCUAAUGCUUUUAAGAGGAGCUGACUUCAGAAGCCGGCA